UAAUUUUCUCGGCCUUUUGGCCAAGAUCAAGCAUAGUACCUCUUCUUAUCUGUUUAAUACUUGAGUUUCCUUAGUAAUUAUUUACAGUAGUUAUGACCAUUU
rnacentral:snRNA from 1 species